CUAAUUUCGAAUUCCCUGUAAGUUUUUUAUCCUUCCCACGUUUUAAUAGCCAACGUUUGCCUUUCCGCAUUUCGACUUCCCAGGUUUUCAACAUUUCCACUCAGUCCUGCGUUGGCGGUAUCUUCAAAGAGAGCUUCGUUGCAAAAUCUACGAUUGGAGAAGAGAAUCGUUGUCUUUCGAAGGUGCGAUUAGAAUAUGUGAGUCUGUGAUUGGUGUUGGCGCUCUUCCUCUCUCUCAACCUACUCUCUGCGAUUGGAGUCUGCAAGUCUGCGAUUGGAGAAGAGAGUCGCUGCCUUUAAAGGCGUAAUUGGAGAAGAAAACCCUUUUCUUUUUCUCGUUCUACAAAUAGAGUGGUUGAGCCACUUACCUACCACUAGUUUGAUUUCUCUGGCGAACACCGCUGCCAGUGUCGUCAUUUGCCACCGCUGCCAGUGUCGUCCAUUCCAUCUUUUAUUGGACAACACGAAGGCUUAGUACAAAGAACUAUUUUUCUCUUCUAAUUUCUAAAAAUUGAUUGCUGAUUGGGGGUGAUUUUUCUAUGCAUGUUGUUCUGAUGUUUAUUUCUUUGUUAGCAUUUGUCUUAUUUUCUAUUGAUACGUGAAUGAUUGAGGUAAUAAAUAUUGUGAUUCUAUUCUUGUGUGUAUAAGCUUGUUGGUUUUGGAUGAAGAUGGAGAUGUGGAGAGGUGAUAUGGAUCUGUCUAAACCCACUGCAUGUUGACUCUGUUUUUCAGGUGCUAGCUAAGACGACAAUAGUGAUGGUAAAGUAAUGAGAAUGUAGCUUGAACGAAGAUGAAAAAGUUCCCCAAAAUUAGGUACUUGAUGUUGGAAGUGGUGCUUCAUCACCUAUUUGUAUAAGAAGAUCAAACAGGACAGAAAAGACAAGUUAGGAACAUAGCUAUAGGAACAUAACUCUAGAAAUUUAGCAAAAUGUGUUAUAAUAAUGUUUUAGAUUUUUUUUGGCUUUUGUUUUCAAUGUGAAAACUUUUGGAUGGUGUUUCAUGAU